GGCGGGACCUGCUCCAGCCAUGCCGCGUGUGUGAAGAAGGCCUUAUGGUUGUAAAGCACUUUAAGCGAGGAGGAGGCUACUUUAGUUAAUACCUAGAGAUAGUGGACGUUACUCGCAAAAUAAGCCCCGGCUAACUCUGUGCCAGCAGCCGCGGUAAUACAGAGGUGGCGAGCGUUAAUCGAAUUUACUGGGCGUAAAGCGUGCGUAGGCGGUUUAUUAAGUCGGAUGUGAAAUCCCCGAGUUUAACUUGGAAAUUGCAUUCGAUACUGGUGAGCUAGAGUAUGGAAAAGGAUGGUAGAAUUCCGGGUGUAGCGGAAAAAUGCGUAAAGAUCUGGAGGAAUACCGAGGGCAAAGGCAGCCAUCUGGCCUAAUACUGACUCUGAGGUACAAGCGCAUGGGGAGCAAACAGGAUUAUAUACCCUGGUAGCCCAUGCCGUACACUAUGUCUACUAGCCUUUGGGGCUUUUGAGGCUUUAGUGGCGCACCUAACGCUAUAAGUACACCGCCUGGGGAGUACGGCCGCAAGACUAACACUCAGAUGAAUUGACGGGGGGCCCGCACAAGCGGUGGAGCAUGUGGUUUAUUUCGAUGCAGCGCGAAGAACCUUACCUGGUCUUGACAUACUAGAAACUUUCCAGAGAUGGAUUGGCGCCUUCGGGAAUAUAGACACAGGUGCUGCAUGGCUCUCGUCAGCA
rnacentral:rRNA from 1 species